GUAUGGGAUUACACAACAAACCUCAACUUUGCUAAUAACAGUUAUUAUAUACUUAGGAAUAAACUGCUUUAAUUUCCUAGAUAUUGGGUGUUUCCCACAUAUUCAACAAUUACUAAAAUUUCUUGCUUUGUAUGAGGGUUUUCUGUGCUUCUAUAGACUUCACCUUCUUGGCUUCCAAAUUCUUUUCUCACACCCUAAAACAUGUACUCAGUUCGUGUAUCAGUAUUUUUUGCCUGUGGAAGACUGUCUGAAUGCAAAUUCUGUUAAAUUUACCUGUAUUAAAUAGUUUAUCAUCGCAGCAGUAGCUUCUGUUUUAUUCAUAUUGUGAAAAAGGUCCUUGGCAAUCUGAUGCUCGGAUAAAGCUCUGUUGAUUGCUGCUUCUGCAAACAUUUGUCCUUUUAUAUUAUGUUUUGUUUUCAGUGCAGGGGGAAUAGAGAAUAGAUCCUAAUUUAUAAACUCUGCUCACUUGUUUCUUUUUCCAGCCUUCUCUUCUCCAUGGCAGAUUCUCCAGGCCUUCUGUGGACCUUGGCUGGGCUUGCUCCAGGUGAUCUUUCUGUCUCUGGUAGCAUGGAGCCUACUGCUGGACACAGUACUCCAAAUGCAGCCUCACCCAUGCAGAGUAGCACGGAAAGAUGACCUCCUUCGAAUUGCUGGUGGGGCUUUUCCUAAUGCCGUCCAGGAUGCCUUUCUUGCUGCAAGGGAGCAUUGCUAGUUCAUGAUCAACUUAGUGUCAGUCAAAGGAAGCACAAAGGGAAAAUGACAAAUAGUAGCAUCUAUCAAGAAGCCAGGGAGUGGUUUGCUGCCCGAGUUCACUCAGGAAGCCAGUGCAAGAACAGCAGCUUUUCUCCUGGGUCUUACGUUGGCACUUGGCCAGCUGAACCCAGCUUCCUACACUCUGAGCUCAAGCAGGACAUAGAGACACGUUCAUUUGGCCAAGGGAUGGUGUCUCCUUGAAGAUAAGACCAUUGGCUCUCUAUUUAAAAAAAAAUAAUAAACAACAAACUUUUUCAAAUGCA
rnacentral:lncRNA from 1 species